ACGGAAGGCAGCAGUGGGGAAUAUUGGGCAAUGGGCGAAAGCCUGACCUAGCAACGCCGCGUGAGGGAAGAAGGUUUUCGGAUUGUAAACCUCUGUCCUUGAUGAAAAGCGAUAGAUGGUAAUCGAGGAGGAAGCCCCGGCUAACUACGUGCCAGCAGCCGCGGUAAUACGUAGGGGGCGAGCGUUGUCCGGAAUGAUUGGGCGUAAAGGGCGCGUAGGCGGCCUGUUAAGUCUGGAGUGAAAGUCCUGUUUUCAAGAUGGGAAUUGCUUUGGAUACUGAUGGGCUUGAGUGCAGGAGAGGUUAGUGGAAUUCCCAGUGUAGCGGUGAAAUGCGUAGAGAUUGGGAGGAACACCAGUGGCGAAGGCGACUAACUGGACUGUAACUGACGCUGAGGCGCGAAAGUGUGGGGAGCAAACAGGAUUAGAUACCCUGGUA
rnacentral:rRNA from 1 species